rnacentral:rRNA from 1 species
CCCUACGGGGCGCAGCAGGCGCGAAAACUUUACAAUGCGGGAAACCGUGAUAAGGGGACACCGAGUGCCAGCAUCAUAUGCUGGCUGUCCAGAUGUGUAAAAUACAUCUGUUAGCAAGGGCCGGGCAAGACCGGUGCCAGCCGCCGCGGUAACACCGGCGGCCCGAGUGGUGAUCGUGAUUAUUGGGUCUAAAGGGUCCGUAGCCGGUUUGGUCAGUCCUCCGGGAAAUCUGAUGGCUCAACCAUUAGGCUUUCGGGGGAUACUGCCAGGCUUGGAACCGGGAGAGGUAAGAGGUACUACAGGGGUAGGAGUGAAAUCUUGUAAUCCCUGUGAGACCACCUGUGGCGAAGGCGUCUUACCAGAACGGGUUCGACGGUGAGGGACGAAAGCUGGGGGCACGAACCGGAUUAGAUACCCGGGUAGUCCCAGCCGUAAACGAUGCUCGCUAGGUGUCAGGCAUGGCGCGACCGUGUCUGGUGCCGCAGGGAAGCCGUGAAGCGAGCCACCUGGGAAGUACGGCCGCAAGGCUGAAACUUAAAGGAAUUGGCGGGGGAGCACAACAACGGGUGGAGCCUGCGGUUUAAUUGGACUCAACGCCGGACAACUCACCGGGGACGACAGCAAUA